CCUUACACUACAAGCUAUCACAUAUCUUGAAAAUAAACAAAAAACAUCAGAAGAAAAGCUAACUGAAUUCUAUGCUUCAUUUUCCUCUGAAGCAUACCAAAACAUGCCUACGCACACUUUCACAAUAGGGCAAACACACGUCACCUUUUUGGUAGAUUCAGGGGCAACGAUAUCUCUCAUUAGACAUGAUGCGCUAAACCCUACACCGAAGAUGAGUGCACGCUAUCUUAAAAACAGUAGGAGUUUCAGGUUCCUCAAUGACAGAAAGGUACACCACUCCACUUGCAUGCGAAGAUGAGCUACAGGGCCGUUUUAAACACUCUUUCCUGCUUUCUAAACACUGUCCCGUGAAUCUCAUGGGGAGAGAUCUGAUGUGUGCUUUGGGUAUCGGUUUAAGAUCGACUCCGGAGGGGUUAGUGGUGGUUAGGGAAGCAGCCGCAUUCAUGAAGUAUGGUAAAGAAGAUCUUUUUUACUCAUAUCACUGGCAGCUCCCCCUCACAGCUCUUGAUUCUGUAAAUCACACCCUCCUGCAGACAGCCAGAGCAUGCACAGCGCACACACGCAACACACACGCAGACAUGGUGAGAUCACAAGACCUUCAGUGCACAGCACACAUCUCCCUCGGUCCUGAUACGAGCUUUGAAAAAAACUGGUGCAGGGAGAGACAGGGACAAGAUAAACUGAGGCUUGUGCGGUUGUAUUGGAACGACAAAAUGUGUGUUGCUUCUGUAACUCUGACGGAUUCCCACUCUCAGCGUUUGUUCUUGGUACCGAACUGACCCUCAUAUUCCCUCAUGAUCAAACCAAAGGGGAAAGGGUGGCAGGAAUUGGGACCAUGGACCAGGGCAUGCAAUGAUGCAACAGGUUGAACACAGACAUCCGAUCCACAUGUUGAGUAUCACCGCCGUUUGAAAACAUACAGAAAAAGGUUUUCAGCUGUAAUAACUGCAGUACGAUCUGUUGAGCUCAUACCUGACACAAAAUGGGAUUUGUCAAAAUUUGUCAGGUCAAAUAAGGGUUGUUUUGAUUCUUUUGAUGCUUGUCAUGAAAGAUUUUUUGUUGAUGACGUCACUGAGGUACCAGAGUUAAGCCAAGUGCCAGCACACUUAUGGGCACAGCAUAAACAUGAUGUUGGGCUUAUCAAAUAUGCAGAACCUGUAAUAAUCACUCCAAAAUCUUCCUACAGGCCGUGCCAGAACCAGUAUCCCCUGAAAAAAGAGGCUGUGGAUGGCAUCAAACCAGUGCAUGAGGCACUCCACAAGGGCGGCGUCAUCGUUUCGUGUGAAAAUUCACCCGUGCGCACGCCAAUCUUCCCAGUCAAAAAGAUCAAACCAGUGGGCCAGCCCGACGAAUGGAGCUGACGAUGGAGAGGCACACGACUGUGUUGCUAUCAUUAAUGAAGUCUGCUCUCCCAGAUCUGAUCUGCAGGAAGUGCCACUUCAGAAUGCAGACCUGGAACUGUUUGUGGAUGGCUCAGCAUCAAGGGACCCAGGGACAGGAAAGAACCAAACAGGUUUUGCAGUCACAACAUUACAUGACAUUGUUCUAGCUGAACCUCUCCCCUCAAACUACUCCGCUCAAGCCGCAGACCUUGUAGCAUUAAGGAAAGCAUGCACAUUGGCCAAGGACAAGUCUGUUAACAUUUUCACAGACAGUCGUUAUGCCUGGGGAGUUUGUCAUUCAUUUGGUCAAAUUUGGGCAAACAGAAAAUUCCUGACGGCUUCAGGAAAGCCAAUUGCACAUCACACAUUGGUUGCCUCAGCACGAGACAGCUCCCAGGGACAGGUCAGUGUGAGGAUGAAAUGUUGCGUUAUUGUGCAAACCUGUCCUCUGUUCUUUCUGAUAUUCACAAACAGAUCAAGGACGCUCUGCCUGCCCCAGCAGCCCACAAACUGCAUGAUUUGGAGCCAGGGGAUUGGGUCGUCAUUCGAGAUCUCAGAAGAACUGGAGAGCUUGCAGAUGGAAUAGUCCGCUCCAAGUGCUUCUGACCACGGAGACGGCAGUGAAGAUGGCAGAGAGAGCCACCUGGGUUCACGCCAGCCACUGCAAACAGCACCAAAGUGCUUUAUUGUAGAAUAAUCAUGACUGAUGUUUGAGCAUGUCUUUUGAGCUGUGAAAAGAAUCUGUUUUCCAAGCUGACUUGAUUUUUUUAUCCUUCACUAUUACUUACGAAGGAAUUUUUUUUUUUAAUCUAGUCUGUAGCGAGCAUAGUAUGCUCAAAGGGAGGAAUUGUGAUGGGAAAAUUCCUUUUCAUUAUGGGUUGAUGAAUUUUGAACUAUUUCUUAAAAACAUUUAUCUAACUUGCUUCAUGUGACUGCAAAUGUAUGAACACCUAACCUAUGCGCUAUAUGAUUGGAAUAGAGUCACGAACCAGCCAAAACUCAGAUAGAAAGUCGCCUUCUUGUCUCAUGUUUUAUGUCUGAUAAUUUUAUGCUUUAACUUUAUGUCUUGUGUCGAUGAGAAGCCUGUCUGAUUGGGAUAGUC